AAUUGAUGACAUAGACCAUGGAAGCCUGAGACCUUACAUCCCACAUUACCACAUAUUUUGAGAUGCUUUUGGUAGAAAGACUGCCCCCAAAGCAAGCCUCAUUUCCAAACAGCAUCUCUUUCUUCGUAUGCUUCACGUCCAAAAACUUCCUCCACCAAGCCCGGAGCAAGAUGCUGGAGUGCUGCAGAUGCAUUGCAAGAGAGAUGAGAAUGAUGGCCCCCUACCAUGGUGAGCAAGGGGGCUCAUGUGCUGAAAAAUGAGUCUGAAUAGGAAAGGUAGCCAAAGGCAACCCAGCGAUGUCCUGCUGCAGAGGAGAGCGGAGAUGCCAGCUCAGAGAAGGUGGUAAGAGAGUGACCGAUACGACCUGUAUGAUGGAUGGGCUUUGAGAAGGAAGACUUGACAGCUGUUCAAUGUCCACUUUGGGAGCCCUGAAUGAGAGGUCUAAGCCUCAACUGGUGUUGCAGCAUGCUGGAGGAGUCCUCAGAGCUUCAGGGGGCCAGAACAUGCCCCAGGGCUGUCAGGAAAUAUUGGAUUACUGCUUUUCACCCCCCCAUCCAGAAAAGGUAGUGCCUCCCCACCCAUUGCAAUGGGCCAAGAUGUGCCUCACUGCUCCGUGAGGGACUGUGUGCCCAUGCCCAUGCCAUUCCCUCUGUACAGGGAGUUCAUAUUCAUGAGUGCUGCAGCACUUUUUUCUAGGUGUUUAACCACAAGAUGUUGCAGGAGGAACACAGUCAUAGCUGCAGAUAGUAAACUGACCUAUCACUUUAAUUGCUUAUUUCAGCCAGGUGCCCUAAAUGACUUACCUAUUAUUAUUUAGGAGACCUUUGGUAAAGUGGAGACUCGAACAUGCAUGUUCUGGGUUAGUACGUAAAGCUACUGGGCAGUUUUUUCUGUCUAGAGCUUUAUUUGUGGCUCAGAGGUGAAAAGGAAAAAGUUAAAAACUCUCCAGGCAGAGCAGGUACAGUGAAGUCUUUGAUGCCACUGUUAUGUAAACUUGUGGUUUAUUUUUAGCAAUGUUUUCUAAAAAGCAAUGAUCAGAAUUAAUAAAUAAUUCUGUUAUUUCACAUGAAGUAAUUAACCCAUUUUUUUCAGCU